rnacentral:rRNA from 1 species
UACGGAGGGUCCUAGCGUUGUUCGGAAUCAUUGGGCGUAAAGCGGGUGCAGGCGGUGGUGUAAGUCGGAUGUGAAAUCCCGGGGCCCAACCCCGGAACUGCAUUCGAUACUGCUCCACUGGAGUCCCGGAGAGGAAGGCGGAAUUCCCGGUGUAGAGGUGAAAUUCGUAGAUAUCGGGAGGAACACCAGUGGCGAAGGCGGCCUUCUGGACGGUGACUGACGCUCAUACCCGAAAGCGUGGGGAGCAAACAGG